GCGGGUGUAGUUAAAUGGUAUAACUCCAGCCUUCCAAGCUGGUCUUGUGGGUUCGAUUCCCAUCGCCCGCU
rnacentral:tRNA from 1 species